rnacentral:rRNA from 1 species
AAAUGAAUUGACGGGGGCCCGCACAAGCGGAGGAACAUGUGGUUUAAUUCGAUGAUACGCGAGGAACCUUACCCGGGCUCGAACGGCUGAUGAAUAUAGAUGAAAGUUUAUAGUCGCAAGACAUCAGUCGAGGUGCUGCAUGGUUGUCGUCAGCUCGUGCCGUGAGGUGUCGGCUUAAGUGCCAUAACGAGCGCAACCCUUACCGUUAGUUACCAUCAGAUUAUGCUGGGGACUCUAACGGGACUGCCACCGUAAGGUGUGAGGAAGGUGGGGAUGACGUCAAAUCAGCACGGCCCUUACGUCCGGGGCUACACACGUGUUACAAUGGGGGGCACAAAAGGAUGCUACCAAGCGAUUGGAUGCUAAUCUGUAAAAACCCCUCCCAGUUCGGAUUGGAGUCUGCAACCCGACUCCAUGAAGCUGGAUUCGCUAGUAAUCGCGCAUCAGCCAUGGCGCGGUGAAUACGUUCCCGGGCCUUGUACACACCGCCCGU